rnacentral:rRNA from 1 species
AGUGGCGCACGGGUGCGUAACGCGUGGGAAUCUGCCCUUGGGUACGGAAUAACUCAGAGAAAUUUGUGCUAAUACCGUAUAAUGUCUUCGGACCAAAGAUUUAUCGCCCAAGGAUGAGCCCGCGUAAGAUUAGCUAGUUGGUGGGGUAAAGGCCUACCAAGGCGACGAUCUUUAGCUGGUCUGAGAGGAUGAUCAGCCACACUGGGACUGAGACACGGCCCAGACUCCUACGGGAGGCAGCAGUGGGGAAUAUUGGACAAUGGGCGAAAGCCUGAUCCAGCAAUGCCGCGUGAGUGAUGAAGGCCUUAGGGUUGUAAAGCUCUUUUACCCGGGAUGAUAAUGACAGUACCGGGAGAAUAAGCUCCGGCUAACUCCGUGCCAGCAGCCGCGGUAAUACGGAGGGAGCUAGCGUUGUUCGGAAUUACUGGGCGUAAAGCGCGCGUAGGCGGUUUUUUAAGUCAGAGGUGAAAGCCCAGUGCUCAACACUGGAACUGCCUUUGAAACUGGAAAACUUGAAUCUUGGAGAGGUCAGUGGAAUUCCGAGUGUAGAGGUGAAAUUCGUAGAUAU